rnacentral:tRNA from 1 species
UAGCUCAGUCGGUUAGAGUGUGGUGCUGAUAAAUCCAAGGUCAUGGGUUCGAUCCCUGU